AACGAACGCUGGCGGCAUGCCUAACACAUGCAAGUCGAACGAGACCUUCGGGUCUAGUGGCGCACGGGUGCGUAACGCGUGGGAACCUGCCCUUAGGUUCGGAAUAACUCCCCGAAAGGGGUGCUAAUACCGGAUAAUCUCUUCGGACCAAAGAUUUAUCGCCUUUGGAUGGGCCCGCGUUGGAUUAGCUAGUUGGUAGGGUAAAAGCCUACCAAGGCGACGAUCCAUAGCUGGUCUGAGAGGAUGAUCAGCCACACUGGGACUGAGACACGGCCCAGACUCCUACGGGAGGCAGCAGUGGGGAAUAUUGGACAAGGGGCGAAAGCCUGAUCCAGCAAUGCCGGGUAAGUGAUGAAGGCCUUAGGGUUGUAAAGCUCUUUUACCCGGGAUGAUAAUGACAGUACCGGGAGAAUAAGCUCCGGCUAACUCCGUG
rnacentral:rRNA from 1 species